UAGCUUGGAGAAAAUAAUAUAUAUUAUUAUAUUAUAGAUGUAGCUUGUGUUUUAUCUUUUCUCUAUAAGGGUGGGUUUAGUUGAUUUAUUUUGGUUGACCAGUUGAAUUCUACCUAUCCUGAAUACACAUUAUAGUUAUAGUAAGCUGUAAUAUAUGAGCUACAGCUUGAACCUCCUUAUUUUCCCCCAGUCAUACAAUAGCCCACAAAUUUGGGUUGGGUUAUUAUAAUUAUUUAUAACCCAACCCAAAUUUGUGGGCUAAAUUAUAAUUUAUAACCCAACCCAAAUUUGUGGGCUAUUGUAUGACUGGGGGAUAAUAAGGAGGUUCAAGCUAAAAAUAAAUAAUUAGACACUAAAUUAUUUAGUCUCUUAUUUCCAUCGGUAUAAGAGUAUCAGAGCCUAUAAUUUUUUUUCAAAUGUUCAGCGUUUCAAAAUCUUUUCAAAUCACUAACUUUAAAAUUAUUUUUUCCGAAUUCAAUCCUGAAUCCAAACACCUAGUACAAUUUUUUUUUGCCGUACCUAUAAAUUCCACUAAAUAGAACCGAACUUAGCACUUAGAACAAAAAUGAUUCACAUACAUAAUCUGUUAUUUAAUAGAGUUUUUUUUUGGAAAUUGCAAAAAAUCAAAGGUUACAUUAUGAAUUCAUCAGACAUACUUGAUCCCUUUGAGAAUACUUUGAUUUUAUUCUUCAACUGAAGUAUUUUUUUCAUUGUUCAAAGGAGACGUAUGUCGCGUCAUGCGCCGAUAAAGCUUCGGAAGGGCGCACAAUCAUGAGUAUCAUGGGGAAGCUGGUGACCCUUCCUCACCAUCCAAAGCAAGGACGACCAUAAGAGAGAGAAAAACCUUUCAAGGACCUUCUGAUAACUGAAGUUAUGAUUGCAGCUGCUACAAACCGGUGCUGGCCGAAGGCAGAAUUGAAGCAGGUCUAGUUGAAAGCGGCUACGUGGCUUGCACAAGCCCAAUCCAAGUUGGACAAAAUGAAUCAGCCAUCAACACCAGCUACAACGACAAUAAUCGACAUCGAUUGUGAAGAUGAACCUCUCGAAUAGAUAAGAAUAUAAUAGUAGUGACAGAAAAGAUCAUAAAACGUGUCUACAUGUUCAAUUUACUGAUAUCAUAAACAAUAAAUUAGUAAUUGAUUAUAA